GACUCCACUCAGCACGUCCGUUCCCUUCGACUUCACUCAAGCGCGCGCGAAAACAUCGCCACCUAGAGUAGGUGGCGAUGAGCGAGGGGGAGGAAGGAGAAACGAGGCGAAGCGUCGCGCAGGAGGAAGGCAGGCUGUGCACACGUAAGAAGGCGGCUACGAGAAAACAGCUGAUCAGUGCGAUGGCCUGCAUUUCGUGUACCUUUGUCCGUAACGCUGGUCGACUAAAUGAGAUGUCGGCUUCCGAGGUCCACUUUCGGCCGAGAAGAAUUUUGGAAGCAGUGAACAUCAUGGAAACCGGGAGAGCGUAGUGCAAGGAAAUGGAAGAAUCGAAGAAGAGUGGAAGGCAGUACAUCUCAACAGACAGCUGGUAAGCAAAUCUUUUGGUGAACUAUCAUAACUUUCUCCGAACGUAGGGAAAGUGCGCAAUAAUAAAUUUCCCCUGCGCGUCGUACAAAUAUUUGUGCUG